rnacentral:tRNA from 1 species
GGGGGGUUGGCUCAGUGGUUAAGAGCACUGGUUGCUCUUCGAGAGGACCUGGGUUCAAUUCCCUGCACCCUUA